ACAACACAUGUACGUCUGGCCGACGUCGGCCCAAUAUUGAAACGUCGGCCUCUAUACCUAAAACAUCUAUAAAACAUCGGCCUGGCGGAGGCCGAUAUAAUUUGGUCAGUGCUCUGUUCUCCAGCUCAUCAAUCGUCGGCCCUGAGUUGGUUCACGACCGCGGGCCGAUGCCGCGCUUCUCUGUGUGCGCGUGCCCAGUAUUCGUCUCUUUUAGCCACCCAGAGAGAGAGAAGAGGAUAAUCCCAGCGACAUCUGUGGCUCUGAGGCUUUCAGAAAUAAUCCGGUGAAAUAAUAUGAUGUUUGUGUAAAUGCUGUGUGUGCGUUGAGUCCUGUGCGAGAUGGGAGCAGAGUUGCCAUGGAAACGGGGCGUCAACACAAAAACCGUUACUGGCAAGCAGUAAUCUCCGUCUCUUGCUGCGGUUUACACUGUUUUGGAAACGGUUUAGUGUCUUCGGAAAAGUCCGUUAUCAUUUUAGCAGUUUUUAGAUGUUUGUUUGUGUAAAUGCUGUGUGCGCGUUGAGUCCUGCGCGAGCGGGGAGCAGAGUUGCCAUGGAAACGGGGCAUCAACACAAAAACCGUUACUGGCAAGCAGUAAUCUCCGUCUCUCGCUGCAGUUUACACUGUUUUGGAAACGGUUUAGUUUCUUCGAAAAAGUCCGUUAGCAUCUUAGCAGUUUUCAGGAGGACAGAAAGAAACUCUACAGAACAGAAGUGAAGCUCCAAGAUUUCAACAUUUCUGAAGGGAGAUUCUGACUUAGAAAUACAGGUGACCUGAAGAAGCUCAUGAAAAACAUGAAUAUGCCUUUUUCAGAAUACAUUUCACCAAAGUCCCUGACAUCAUAACCUUGUUUCCUUCUAAUGAACCUGGAACUGCAGAGUAAAUAUUGUUGACUCUGUGUCAGAUUGCUUGUUUUGUUCCUGGAUUCUUAAGUGAUGACGAUCAGAGUCUGAGUGAACCUGCUGUCAGACAGGUUGGCCUGAUUGACGAUGCCAUCGUCCAUCGCCGAUGGCUGAUAGACAUCACGAUGCUGCGCCGGAAACAGCGUCAUCAGCUCCAGUAUCUCGCCCGUGCAUCUGUUGUCAUGCGACAGAGAAGUCACGUUCUAUAGACAGUUUCUAUAGACAGUUGUGAACGUGCUGACAGCUGGUUGCCCAGGCUAUGGAUUAAAGGGCCAGCAGAGCCCUGCUCACCCUGACGGCCCACUGCUGCUGUCAGACAACAUCUCCAAGAUGCUAGAAACUGCAGGACCAGAUGGCCAUCCCAAGGUUUCUAGAGAUUACAGCAGCUCCAGACUGAAUCCAAACUCACUCGUGAAGACUUCAGAUGACACCAACGCUCAUAAAGACUACAGACGACAACUGUACAUGAACACACAAAACAUUGGACACACAAAACAAAUAUUAUCCUUAUUUUGCCUAUAAGGGUAAAUUUGAUGAUUUUCAAACUGCUUUAUUGUAACGUCUCUUAUAUCUGUAAAUGAACAAUAUUUACUCUCUGAGUUAUGUGGACCUACAUGUCCCCUUUUAUUUGUAAGCAUCACUUUAAAAAUGUUGAAAGAUAAUGUUAAUGUUAACUGAAUACAAAACUAGAGACUUGUUUAGUAAGAUUUUAUCGGAAAAUAUUUUUGAACUUUUAUCAUGCAACAUUUUAAUUGCUUAAUUAGUAUUGUUUGCCUGGUUUUAUUUUGUGUUUAUGUAACUCUUUUUAAAAAGUUCUUGGCAUAAAGUUCGCAUGCGAUGCUGACAGCACUGAACACAUGACUUUUUAUUAUGAACUAGAUGGUCUUCCCAGUGAGUCUCAGUCAUCUCUGGCUUUUUAAACUGUAACCUUGAAACAUGCAUUUCCUGUAAACCUACUUUGAAAUAAGUAUUGUCAAAAGGUGCUAUACUCAAACAACAUUUAACCAUGCAAGUACUGUAGUAAUGGUUAUUUUUGUUUUUACUAUGGGUUUACUGCAAAAGCUGUAGUAAAAUCAUGGUGAUUGUAGUAAAACUAUGGUUGCUUUUGUUUUUUCUAUGGUUUUACUGCAAAAGCUGUAGUAAAAUCAUGGUUAAUGUUCAAAAGACUACAAAUAAUCCCGAAUUAUCCACUUUUGAUCAAAGCAUCUGGUAAAUGUUAUUGUAUUUGUACAUGUAAUAUGAAAUAAAUGAAAAUAUUAAUAAAGUUGCGUCUGUUCUUGA